AUAGUGACGAAUGCACGUGGUUCCCGUGUUCGCACGGGCCAAGAGGGAAUCCGGUGUGAAUCCGGAGCUGCCCCGCAGCGGUAUAUGAGAACGACCGCCGUCAUGACGCACUGUGCUUUGGCAUGGGAAGCGACGGCUAGUAGGAGUCCGAUCAGGACGAGCUCAUGAGCCCGAAGACCUGCCAGGUGUGGUCCCGCAACC
rnacentral:ncRNA from 21 species